CUGUAACCAAACAGAGCAGAAGUGAUGAGAGGCUGAUGGCUGUUCCAGGCAGGGAUUUACUGGGGCCCCAAGGAGAGGAGUGGUGGCAGAGCGCACAAGACCCCUGCUCUUCCUGACGGCACUGUUUAGAAGACACUAGAAGAUACUCCUCCUCUCUUCAGAGUGUAUUGCUCAGAGCCCCUCAGCAGAGCCAUCAUCGCAUCUGCUGCUGCACUGUCAUGUGUGGUUCCAGGGGAAGCUCCCAGAGCUGCAGCGCCAGCCGCACCGGGGACGCUGGCCGAGUCUCGGGAAAGGGCUGUACUCCUCACAUCCUCACACCCUGGCCAACAGGCAUGAUCAGGUUUUGAGAUCUUUGUCAAUUGCCAGGCAAAUAGUAGUGUCUUAGUUGCUUUUCUUUUAUUACCAGUCAGGUGACAAUUUUUCCGUUUAACAAGCUCACGUGUUUUUCUGUGAA